AAAUUUAUUUACAAACGUCUCCAAUGACAAAUCAAACAAAACGAACAGUCACUCGGUACAUAAAUAGCUCCCCUGCUGCCAGACGGAGUUAAAUAACACAUCACAUGACUCUUCUCGGUGCUGAUUCCCCAGUGCAGAGCUUUAUGCUGAUCGUUUACUGAGCAUGUGCGCAAGUUGAAACAUUUUACAUAUACAUUUUUCUAGGCUCCCUGGUGCCUAAACUGAAUUCCCGGUCAAAGCACAGCAUCUAGGAUGAUGUGGGAGCACUGCAAGCCUGCAGAGGUGAUCGCCCUCCACUUGUUCUGGUGCAGCUACACAUGUGCUUAACGCAGGGCUGGAACAGAAGUCUUUCCACGAUUCCUUGGUGUCUUUCAUUUUCCUCUCCACUGGUCUUUCCGUGGUGUUUUUGGGAGGGGGCAAGGAAUGACGGUUACAGUUCUGCAGCCCUGAGCUGGUGUGAAGUCCUUCCCUGCGCUGAGGCCCUCAGUCUAAGAAGCCAUUUUGAAAAGGCAGAGCUUCACGAGCACCGGUCCUGACGUUUGAGUGCAUGCAGACAGGCUAACUGAAAAUGUUGACUCGUUUUGUGCUUCGGGAAUGACCGAGUGAAAAAGAGAGCGGCGUUAUUCACAGGAUUCAGACAGAGGAGGUUUCUGUUCUUAUUUUGCAUUUGACCUGAAACGACAGAAAAGAGGUUUCAUACCAUUGUUAGUUGGUUUAGAAGCAGUGGUGAGAAACAUGUAUGCACUUAAAAGACUGCUCGCUGUCCUGAACCCCCCCCCCCCAAUUUCUCUCGCUCUCUAGAAGCACUCAAACGCUGGUAAUGUACUCCAUGUGUCUGACUGAACCAAACACCCCGUCACCAUAAACAGACUGCAGCCGCUGUCGUGCUCAACAGAGAGACACAGAACCUUCGAAAACCAAACCCAGAGAGUGAGUAAGAAGUAUUGAGAAGAUACAUUUAGAUGAGACCACGUCUGUGUGACUGCAGGACAGUGAAAAAGUCAAAGAGAGGGUGUGUGUUUCCCCUUGUUCCGCUGUGGUUCGGCGCUCCACCGAUGAGGGGUGCUAGCUUUAAUGACUGCACUGUCACGACUGUUUCCCUUCGCUUCCAAAGCACCUCCCUCCCCAAAUGUUUACUCAGCAGCCUGACAUUUAAUUGUUCCCUCCCCAGGUUAGAGGAACCGUUCUGGGGGACCAGAGGGAAAAAGGGGGGCCUCCAUAGACAUGGGGGGACUGUCAAGGUGUCCUUGGCUUGGUGUUUGUCUUCACUUUACCCAUAGUUCAUAAAACCUCCAGAAGUGGCCAGACCCAUAAGUCCUUGGUCGCUGGUUAGAUAUUCACACUUUCCAGACGUCUUUCAUUGUGAAGUGGUUCAUCUAUUAUAAGUAAUCUAUUAUGAGUCAUCUAUUUGAAUCAUAAUUCAAAAUGACUUGUAUGUUGGUGGAAAACUGUUAGAAAAGUUCUUCAGGAAAGAAUUACAGUCUCUAGUGGAAAGAUUAAGUAACAUACAUGUAAACAGCAGCUUGUGUAGUUAAGUGAGGUUUCCAAAAUGACACAGUGAAUGACAGUACCCCUCCCCUUCAGGAAGAUGCCUGGGUGUACAGUACCUACCCCCCCAUCAAGGAGAGGUCUGGGUGUGUCUGUAGGUCUCGUUGGUGAUGGAGAGGCGUGUGAGUCUGGCACCGUAGUAAUCCACUAUGUACUCCGACCUAUCCGAUGGACCCACAAUCUGAAGGGGGAGGAAACAGGAAGUGCAGAUACAUGCUGACGUCAGACCAACUUCAGCUAAGCUACGGCUCAAUAACGAUGUACUCCACCCUAGAAUGAGUCCAUGGCAGAGAGUGGCCCCGUG
ensembl:lncRNA